GGGUCAGUAGGUUGGUCGUGCCACCGGUACGUACUGGUCUCACUGAUUCCUCCUUCCUGAAGAACCGUAAUGCCAUUAAUUUGGUGUUGCGGGGAAACAGGACUGUUACUUUGAAAAACUUAGAGUGUUUAGAGCAAGCUAACGCUUGAAUACAUUAGCAUGGAAUAAUGAAAUAGGACGAUCGAUCCUAUUUUGUUGGUUUCUAGGAUUGACGUA
rnacentral:rRNA from 1 species